UCUCUUAGUCUCUCUCU
rnacentral:sRNA from 1 species